rnacentral:lncRNA from 1 species
CUGUAGAAAUAGAAGGCAUCGGGAAAACCAAUAAUCAUACAACUGAACUUGAUUCUGAAGAUCUUUGGUUAAGUCGAUCUUCAGUCAUCCAGCUCAAACGAUGGUUUGGGCCUCUUACAUAAGACACGAUACUAGGCGGCUAAGAAAAAGCAAGAAGAGUGGUUCAAUGAGUUAGAGCACUAUGUAAUAUUCGUAUUAACAUUACUGGCAUAUCAUGUAGCCCAAAACUAGGCCACCUUAAUGGUUCUUUUGGCUAUGAUCCAUGUCAAUACUGCAGAUUCUGAACAUGCUAAAUUUCGUAUCAGCAAGUUUCCUCGAAU